rnacentral:lncRNA from 1 species
GCCUUUUAUAGCUGACUAUGCGGUAUGGGCUUUGCUUAUUGUUUAAGGACAUCCGGUGACCUAUAGUUGUUUUUUUUUUGUCAUUUUGGUCUCUUGUGGAGAGUUGUCACAUAUGGAAUCAUGUCACAUUUUCUUAUUUUUGUGUUCAAACACCGAAAAUAAGGUUACAGAAUGAUGAACUUGCGCCAAUAUACAGAAUGAUGAACUUGCGCCAAUCUACAGAAUGAUAAACUACCGCCAAUCUACAGAAUGACGAACUUGCGCCAAUCUACAGAAUGAUGAACUUUCGCCAAUCUACAGAAUAAUGAACUUGCGCCAAUCUACAGAAUGACGAACUUGCGCCAAUCUACAGAAUGAUGAACUUGCGCCAAUCUACAGAAUGAUGAACUUGCGCCAAUCUACAGAAUAAUGAACUUGCGCC